CCUUCAUCCCGAUCCCGGUGCCCCGGGCUCCCGGCAGGUUCCCACGGUGCCGCCCGCCCCCGGGCCGCCCCUCGCCCCCCCCCCCCCGGGGAGGGGGCACCCCCGCCCGCCCUGCGCGCCCGGCUCCGCUCCUCCGUCUCUCCGGCUGUGCUUUUUCCUUAAUUUUCUUUAUUUUCCAUCCCCCCCCUUUUUAUUCUCAAUUUUUUCUCUUUUUUUUUGUUUGUUUGUUUUGGUUUGCUUGUUUUGUUUUGUUUUGGCGGUUUUGUUUUUUUCCCCUCUUUUUUUUUUCCAUUUGUUUCCUCUCUUCGCCCCCCGGACGAACACGAAAUUCCCUAUGGCCGCCCUCCGUCCCCGCAAGAGGCAGUGGAGCCCUGCGGAGCUCACAGCCCCCAGCCCCGCACCGGGCAUUGUCCCCCCUCCCGGCAUUCAGUUGCUUAUGUUUGGGUGUUGCAGAGACGAGCUGUUAUUUGCCUGCACUGAAGAUCUUGAUCAAGGGAACAAUGUUUCUAAGGAUCCUCAGCAGCUCUUUGCUGGAGGAAGCCAAUGGUUCCCAGCUCCACCAGAAACCCCCCCUGGGCUGUGCCAGGCACUUGCAUCCCACCAUCCAGGGGCUCCCACCACCACGAUAAGGACGGACACCCAUAUAUACAUAUAUAUAUAUAUAUAUAUAUAUCUCUGCCCCAACUCCCCCAUGCUCCCCACAAAAUUCCUUCACAUCCAGGAUUCCCUCAAUAAAUUGAGGCUUAUGAAGAAGAAGAGAAGCUCGAUUUACCUCCACUGGAGCAAGAGAAAGGAAAGAGAGGAGAAAAGAAACCUUUUUAAAAGAAACUUUAUAUUUUCCUAUCUGAGUCAAGUGAUGCCGCACUGGGAUUGGGGACUGUUGUUGGGUUCAUUUAAGAAUCUAUUGUUGUCCAUGUGAAUUCUUUUUUACAUUUCAAAUAACAGGAUUAUUUCCCCAGGGGGUAAUAUCCUGUAAUUUGAACACAAUAAUGGGAAUAAAUUACUUACUUAGAACUAAUAACGACAGCCUGAUUCCAAUAUAUAUAGGAACUGUAACAGCUUUGGUUAGUUAAAGUGUAAUUGUGUCGACGGAUGACAUUUUCUUUCAAAGGAAUCUGAAUGACUUUUAAUUAAAUUUGCUGGGGGUGGGGAAGAGAGGGAGAGAUACACUGGGAGAUCUCGGCUGCCGAGGCUGCGGCGGGUCCCAGCCCCGGUGCCCCAAGCUGAGCUCAGCCCCGAGCAAACCCAGCCCUGGCUGCAGUUUCCAAACCAAGCACAAAACAGGGAAGAAGGAAACCAGCGCCAAAGCCCAUGGCCCAGGGAUGGAGGGAUGGUGGGAUGGAGGAAUGGAGGGGGUAGAGAGGAUGAAGAGGGGUAGAAGGGAUAGAAGGAUGGAGCCCAGCCCACUUCCUGAGCUCCAUCCUGGCAGAGGGCAGGGCAAUGCCCAUAUCCUGCCCUGGGCACCCCUGCACUGCCUCUGCCUGUGCUGGGGAAUGGAGGAGCUGAUGGGGGCACCAGCAGCCAGGCAAGGAGGCUCUGCUGCUCUUGUUGGAGCCAUGAAAUCACAGAAUGGGUUGGGUUGGAAGGGACCAUAAAGACUACUUCAGGGUGUCCCAUGGGCAGGGACACCUUCCACUAUCCCAGGUUGCUCAAGUCCCAUCCAACCUGACCUUAAACAGUCCCAGGGAUGAGGCAGCCACAGCUUCCCUGGGGAACCUGUGUAAGUGCCUCACCACCCUCACAGGGAGGAAUUUCUCCCCAGUAUCUCAUCUAAUGCUGCCCUCUGGCACUGGGAAGCCAUUCUCCCUUUUCCUGUCCUUCCAGGCCCUUGUCCAAGUCCCUCUCCAGCUCUUGGAGCCCCUUUAGGCACUGCAAGGGGCUUUAAGGUCUCCCCAGAACUUUCUCCUCUCCAGGCUGAACAACCCCAACUCCCAAUAUUGCCACCUCAGCCCAGGGGUCCCUCAGGGAAGGCAGCUCUGCCCGAGGAGGACCUGCACCAGCAGCUCUCCAUCCCAGCUCCUCACCCCAGAACUCCCCUGCAAGCCCUGGGCUCUGCAUGUCUCCUCACCACUGCCUUCAUUGCCAACCACUCCUCAGGUUUAUUUCUGAAUCAGCAGCACGAGAGGUUCCCUUCAAAGGCAAAAAAAAAAAAGAAAAAAAAAAAAAGGGAUCUUUCAGCUGCAGCGCUGCAGAAAGCCAAGUUCCUGCCCCGAAAUAUGUCGGAGAGGAGCUGUGUGCUGCUGCCAGUGGCUCCAGCCUCCUCCAGGACUCAUUUUCCUCUGUUUAUCUUGAAAAUAUUUCUGUGCUGAGGUCCCACCCCGUGCGGCGGAGCCCUGCGAGGCCGCCUCCAGCCUCACACACGGCCUCUUGUUUAUCCACAGCCAGUUUUACAAAUAGCUUAUUAAGCCCAGAGGUCUGUUUGCUGGAGGAAAACCUCACGGAGCAGCUCCUGCAGCCCCCCCUCCGAGGCUCCUGCCAGCUGCGCCCCCUCCCAAAACCCCUCUGACAUGCACCGAGUGGCUCAGGCCUCUGUGGCUGCAGACAAAUGUCUGCUGGGUUUGGGAAUCGCUCAUGACAUAAUAAAAUAACCAGUGUGCUGGUGGAGGAGGUCCCACCACCCUCGUCCUCUCCCUGCUCCCAGGGUCGAUAUCCCGUCUGGGAUUUUGGCAUGGCACGGCGAUGCCGUGGCACUGCCAGCUCUGGUUUGUGGGACCCUGCAGUGGCAGCUGCCGGGUAGAUUUUGCCUUUUGUAAGACCCUUCUGCAAGGGGCUGCUGGUUUGGGGGGGGGGGAGUUGCAGAGGUUCAGAUUGCAGGGAGUAAUAUUUUGGGGGCUGCUGAAUUGGUUGUGCUUUGGAAGUUGCUGAAAACAUGCCCAGACCCAGAGAGCUGACGACAGUUGGAUGCUGCGUACAGUGGUCCUGGCAGGAGCCCAGUGGGACCAUGCCUCAGAUUCCCUCCUGUGCCUCUGCUGCCCACCCAGCCCCAGGAUCCCCAGGUGGGAGCUGGGAUGGAGGGUUUCAGCCCACAGCAAACAGUGUCAGGGAUGUCCCACAGGGCUCAAGCCCAGCCAUGGGCACCUCUGUGUCCACAGAGUCCAGCAAACACGUGCCUGAGCACCUCUGUCCCUGCUGCCACCUCUGCCCUGGGCAGGAGCCCGGCUGUGCCCAAUCCCCAGUGCCCCAGCACCACAGCUUGGGAUGCCCACCCUGAGCACCCCCUCCCCGAGACCCCCUGAAGCCCCCGAGCACACAGAACCCCAUAACACAGCAACAUUCAUAACCUGGCUGGCAAGAUUGAAUUACCUGCCCCUGGAAGAAUAAAGGAGGCAUUCAGCCAUUUCUUUAAAGUCCUUUCCCCUGCCAAGGCCAGACACCACGGUGACGGUCGAGCACAGAGGCAGAGAAACACGAGCCCUCACCUCUCCCUCCGAGGGUGACCCCGAUCUGCCCCACAUCCCCCCCUUCUCCGACCCUUUAACACCCAGGGAAGCACAUGCUUUGCUCACCCGUCACGAGCUCCCUUAUCUUUUAAUAAAACCUUUAAGAGCAGAAGUCAGGCAAUGCCGGCACAAAGGCAGCUCAACCUCCUCCCGGGACAUUAAUCAUUUUCUUUGACACGUUUUGCUAAUUAGCCAAAGCGUUUGCCUCGACAGGGGAGAAAUUGGGGCCUGGGAAAAAAAAAAAAAAAAAAGGAAAAAAACAUUACAAGAAGGGGAAGAGGUGGAAAGAGAGGAAGAAAUGGGGGAAGAAGGAGUUGACGUCACCCCUGUGCUAUCUGGCAUCCCUGGGCAUCACCUUGCUGGGAGAAAACCCAGUCCCAACCCCAUCCCAAGGAUUUUGGGGAGCUGUGAUCUGUGAUACACAUUGUACCUUCCCCAUCCCACUCCUGGUUUCCCCAUUUUGCAGCCACGGAGGGUUAUUUGAAACACACUGUUUGGGGGUUUAACUCAGGGCUUUAUCUUUUACACGGCUGUUAAUCCUCGGGACACAUGUUUCCUAUCAGCCCUUGAUAUUUAACAUACGAUAAGUGUCUUAUUAAAUCCCAGGAACACUCACCCCAAAACCCAGCCCAGGGGCACCCCAAAGGCAGACUGGGCACCCCAGCUCCAGCACAGGUUUUGGGUGUACAAGAUGUUAGACCCAAUAGGGAGAGAAAUACAGUGGAAUGAAGGCUCCUCUACACAGGAAUUCAGCCUUUGCGCUGGGUUUUGGCCCCCUGAGUAGUCACUGCUCCCAUGAGUGGGGAGAACCACUUGCAAUUUUUAAAAUAUGUUAUUUUUAAGGGUUUUUUGGCAAUGCUGUGUGACACAGGGAUGAACCCAUCCCAGGCAGGACUAGCUACUGUCCCAGCAUGACUUCCUAUUCCAAGAGUCUGACCCAGUUUUCAUAGGACCUGAUGUUUUUUGGGGGAGAGAGACCAUAGAGAGAGCAAUCCACAGUGAAAUCACUCUAAUCCACCACACUGAAAAAAUAAAAUCCCAAGGAGAAAGCAUCACCUGCUCAUGCCUCCCCCCAGCCCAGCAUGGCAAAAUAUCAGCUCUUGUCCCAUCCCUGAACAUCAGCUCUCCAUCCCAACUCCUUGGGGAAGGGCAGGACAGAAAACCACACGGCACAAUCCUCUUUCCUCCACGAAACCAAGCAUAAGGACAACAAAACAGGGUGAUAGAGCCCCCCACCCAUGGUAAGGACACCCACCCAUGGGUGUCCCCUGCCCACAGCAACCAUGCCAUUCCCAUCCACGGGUACGAGAGAGUGGGAGCAGCAUCCCAGAGCCACGUCAGUCCUUUGGGGAGCGUUAAAAAAAUAAAUCACAGCUCUUUGCUCCUCUCCAGCACAAGUUUCUCAUUGCUGUGGGAUGACACACAACGUCCCCUCCAAAACAACACGCUUUAUUAUUAUUCUGUUUCUAAUUUGGGGGUUGGAAAUGAUUUUCCAUCCCAGAAUCCAAACCAAACCAUUACUCCCCCCCCCCUCGAAAAAAAUUACUAAUGUGCUUUCCAGAGAGCAGUGGCACGGUCAGUGCUCUGCAAGGAGAGGGUGAAGGUUUGAUAAACAGGGAUGAGCACCAAGGAAUAUCCUUCUCCAUGCCGGUUUCCAAGAAAAAGCAGUAAAAAAAGCAAAUUCAGUUAAAUACAGAGCUGGCCCAGACUCCUGCUGUAACCAGCUGGGUCUGGGAUGUGCUGGUCCCACUGGGAAAGGGCCGUGCUCCAUCCCUGACCUCUGAAGGAUUUGGGGAAAAAGAGGUGAAAGGUCAGUAUGUGGGAAGCAGCGCAGUGCUGGGGACCUGACACAUAAAUCAGCAUCAUUCCCAUUUUUGGCUGUUCCAACCCAAAUCUACCCAUGGAUCCUGCUGGCUCCCUGCAAGGCAGCAAGAAGCCAGUGAGGUCCCACUUCUCUCUGUCCUGCCUGGCCUUGGGGACAGUGGGGACACUCAGACCAAGCCAGGCUGAGUCCCCAGCCCUGUCACCCCAGGUUGUGCCACAAGCCUCAUGGAGAGCCUUGGGGGGCCCCGUGCAGCCGGCAGCGCUGGCAGACGUGCCGAAACCGGCACGCAAGGAGCUGGUGGAAACCCUCCAAGCCUCCUCCGCCGUUGUAUAAGAGCCGCUCGAAAAUACUAAUCCCCAAAAAAUUCAACCCUGGGAGCGUGACCAGGCCGCCUCCCAGGCAGCGUGGUUUGCACAGCCAGCCCUGCACGCAUCCAGGGGGGAAAAUGCCUUCAGGUGAGCUCUGCAGGAAGGUCGGGGUCCCAAAUGUUUUCAUACCAAUGAUCCUCAAAAAAAAAAAAAGAGACAGGCGAGCGAGGCACAGAGGCAGAAUCACCCGGCAUGCCGAGCGCCGCUGCAAAACAAGUAGUUUUUCCAUGAGUCACCAGUGGAAAGACCAGAUCAGGCAUCCCAUGGGUGGGCUUGGCCAGAGCUGGCUCCUCAUCCCCACCACGGCUGGGAGGAUGUUUGGUGUGGGGAUGCUGCAUGUGCAGCCCCGCUCACUGCACUGCUCUCAGCCCCCAGCUUUCCUCAGGCUGCUCUGGGGUCACACUGGGAUGGAUUCAAUGGAAUCCCCAAGCGUUGGAGGGUCUCAGGAUGCGGGGAUGCAUCCUGGUGGUGUUUAGACAUGGCAAGUGGGGUUUAGUCUGUAUGAGCAGUGCAGGAUUUUCCUGACCUCCCUUUCCCUGAACUGACAGUGCACAUGGAGACCCAACAUGUGCCCUUCACCGUGGCCUCGGGGCACUUCAUUGCUCUGCCGCUGUCCCCUGCACCUCUGGUGUCCCCUAAAACCCUCAGGGAGGGAGGGAGGCAGCGACAGAAGCACAAAUAAAUAAAGAACUGGUAAAGGAGCACCACGAAACAAA